UGAGUUGUUUGUGCUAACACAUAUGCUGACAGCAUUUGUUUUAUGCACCUGCUUCUUCUCCAGCUCCAGUUUGCUUCGAUCAUUUUGAUUUUGUUUUAAUGUGCAGGCGUCUGCUGAAGUGUCACCACUUAAAGAGCAUCUGGGCUUGUAUGGGUUUUCAAACUGAAUCCACAUUUUAACAGUUUCUCACCUCUCUAUCUGGAUUAGAAAAUUACCGACAUCAUGGUACAAAGAAGAUGAUAAACUAUAAUCACGAAACGUCAGAUGAAAACACAAGCCUCCAGGAAAGCUGCAGCCAACCAAUUUCACAAGCUUGUUCCAGGAAUGCCUGACCCAGGGUAACUUGAAAAUCAGCACCCUGUAAGUGGGACUCAAAGAAAAAAAACAGCAACGAUCACCACCAACAAGAAGUCUGUUUUUAUCCCUGUGAGCUACAAGUCUCCAUGACUGAUGAUUUCGCUGAUGGGAACUUCUGGUAAAGAGAAGCAGUCUUUAUCUAGAGGUGCUCCUGGGGAUUUUGGUCUUGUUUACCUCACUGACAUGGAUACCAGAGCAGAGAAGAAACAUGGACUGGAAAGAAGACCAGGUGAAGAUGGAGAUAGAGAAUGGAGUUAUGCAGCCACUAGCCGAGGAAUGUCUGGAGCAACCAGAAGCUGGAAGAGGCAAAGAAUGAUCCUUCCCUAGGGCCUUCAGAGGAAGUACAUCUCUGAUAACACCUUGGUUUUGGCCUCCAGAACUGUGAGAAAAGAAAUUUCUAUUGUUUUAAGCCACCUAGUUUGUGAUAAUUCAUUAGGGCACUCUAGGAAGCUAAUACAACCUCCCUUACCUCUUCCUGGUCCACACUCCUUAGUAAGGCAGUUGGUCACUGAUGUGGCUGUCCCCAGAUAGGGAUCUUCUACUUUUGGCAACUUCUUGGGUAAUGAUCAUGAUGAAAGGAAUGGGAAGUGUAUAGCUCUAUUUUAAGAUUUUGGAUUAUGUCCUGACCAUUCCUGGACCUGAUACUUUUUUGUUCCCCUAAUGGCAACCACAAGCCAGUCUGGUUGGUGAACUCUUUGGUUUGCAGGCUGGCCAAAAGGUGGCCUAGGACAUUCAAGCUAAUUCUGUUUAGUCACCUGGAUUCUCUUGCUGGUCUGAUGUGGGCCUAGAUCAAAAGGUAAUGACAAUUUAGUUGAAUAUGCUACAUUCUAAAUCUCCCUUUUGUGGGGGUAGGUGGCUCACAGGCCAAAGUAGGGAAUAUUGUAGAUCUCUAUAAGUUUUAAAAAGUGUCCUUUUUCUUCUUGUACAUGACCCCUAUCAGAUGAAAGAUCUGGGAUGAUUAGAGAAAAGGGGAUGUUGUAGCUAUUGUAAUAGGACACACUGAUUUUUGAAACAGUGGAGGGAGAGCAAGAAUCCAGCACCUGGGUAAGGAAUACUGAUAAGGUUUGACUGUGUCCCCACCCAAAUCUCAUCUUGAAUUAUAGUUCCCAUAAUCCCCAUGUGUCGUGGGAGAGACCUGGUAGAAGGUAACUGAAUCAUGGGGGUGAUUUCCC